UACGUAGGGUACAAGCGUUGUCCGGAAUUAUUGGGCGUAAAGGGCUCGUAGGCGGUCUGUCACGUCGGGAGUGAAAACUCGGGGCUUAACCCCGAGCCUGCUUCCGAUACGGGCAGACUAGAGGUAUGCAGGGGAGAAUGGAAUUCCUGGUGUAGCGGUGAAAUGCGCAGAUAUCAGGAGGAACACCGGUGGCGAAGGCGGUUCUCUGGGCAUUACCUGACGCUGAGGAGCGAAAGUGUGGGGAGCGAACAGG
rnacentral:rRNA from 1 species